GCAGUUACAUCCACGUUAGACCUGCAUGUGCCGAGGCUGUAUAUGAAAGCAUAGACAGCUACAAACAGAACGGUAGUUUUAUCACAACAGGUACUAUACUACAAAUUAAGCCGGCCAUGUUCCAGCCAGGGGCGGAUAUUGGGCCUGGGCCACCUGGGCCGUGGCCCGGGUCGUAGCCCAAUUUUUUUUAAUAUAUAUAGUAGAGAUUUUGGGGAAAAAAAACCCUAACAGUUCAUCCGUGUGUGCCCAGCCGUCACGCGCCGCGACCCGCGAGAGCAGUAGCCGCGUAGAGCAUCAGUAGCACGCCGCACCGCACGUCGGCACGUGAGCUCUGUGCGACUGCAAGUCUGCAACUGCAGCAACCAGCAAGCACGCCGGCCAGCCAGGGAGCUGCCCAUGCCCAGCGGCCACUAGACAGCACUGCAGCAGUGCAGCUGCAGGCCUGCAGGCGCAGGGCAUAGGACGCCAGGGCGGUACUGCGCGCCAGCGGCUAGCUUGCCAGGUCCCAUCCUCCCAGAUAGUAGAUUGAAAUUAAAAUCCAAAAUCAAAGAAUGAAGAGGACAAAAACAUUGAGAUCGUUUUAUUGUCCGGCUCCUACACCUUUGAUACGAACUGAUUCAUCAACACCAAACCAACCUUCCCAAGAACCUGUUAUAGAAUCAGAAACAUUAGGUGUUGAGGAGGGACAAGCAUCAUUAGAGACAGAAGGUAGCAAUGCAAAUGAAUCGGUGGGUUUAAGAGAUAGCAAUAUCAAUAAUGUCGAUCAAGUUAUAGCCGAUCCUGGUCUUCGCAUGCCAAUUGAGCAAAUUGAUGCAAACAUUAGGGAUGCUGUCAGAAGAGCAUAUAUUGCGAAGGGUCCAUGCCAACCAAAAGGUCAUAAGUAUCCUAAAAGAAUGAUAGGCAAUCGCAAUAGGUCUUUUCAUGAUGAAUGGUAUGUAAAUAAUCCAUGGUUGGAGUAUAGCAUUGCUAAGGAUGCGGCCUUUUGUUUUUAUUGCUACCUUUUUAAACAACCAAGAGCUGAAAAUUAUGGUGUUGAUGCCUUCACGGUUGUUGGGUUUCGUCGAUGGAAAGAUGGACGUGAAACCAUUGGAGCUCAUGGUAAUGGCAUAGAUCACAAUAAGUCUAGAAGGUCCUAUGAGGACUACAAAAAUCAGAGGCAAAGUGUGUCUCAUGUGAUGAAUCGAGGGGGUAAAAAGAUGGAGGAGGAAUAUAAAGGCCGUUUGCUUGUCAUAUUGGGAGUUGUAAGAUACCUUUUAUUGCAAGCACUUGCUUUUCGUGGACAUGAUGAAUCUUCUACCUCAAGCAAUAAGGGAAACUUUUUAGAGUUGCUACAGUGGUACAAAGACAAGGAUAAAAAUGUAGCAAAUUUGCUUCGUACUAAUCAGAUGACUUCACCUGAUAUCCAAAAAGACAUUUGUAGAGCUUGUGCAGAGCAAACCACCAAAGCUAUUAUUUCGGAUAUUGGGAAUAGAAACUUUUCCAUUCUUGUUGAUGAGGCUCGAGAUGCUUCUAUCAAGGAGCAAAUGGCGGUUGUUUUGAGGUAUGUCAACGAACGAGGUGAAGUGAUUGAGAGAUUUAUUGGGUUACAAGAGGUACCCGACACUACAUCAUCCGCUCUAAAAGUUGCUUUGGAUGGUAUGUUUUCUUUCUAUGGAUUGUCAAUGGAUAGAUUACGAGGACAAGGUUAUGAUGGGGCAUCAAACAUGAGAGGUGAAUUUCAUGGGUUGCAAAGAAGAAUAUUAGAUGAGAGUCCAUAUGCUUUUUACAUACAUUGCUUUGCACACCAAUUGCAAUUAGUGGUUGUUUCAGUUGCUAAGUGUUGCGCUUCUGUAUUUGAUUUCUUCCAAACGUGCAACUUGAUUGUGAAUAGUGUUAAUGCUUCUUGUAAGAGAAGGGAUCAAUUGGCUCAACAACACCAUGCCAAACUUGUGAACAUGUUGGAAAGGGGGGAAAUUUUUUCAGGUAGAGGGAAAAAUCAAGAAACCAACCUAGCACGACCUGGGGAUACUCGAUGGGGUUCACAUCAUAAAACUUUAUGUCGUAUUGUUCUCAUGUGGGAUGCUAUUCUAGAGGUACUAGAGAUUGUGGCUGAUGAUGGCUCUAAUGGGGAUAAGAAAUAUAUGGCUUCUGGUUUGUUGAAACAAAUGGAGAGCUUUGAAUUUGUGCUUAUUCUGCAUCUCAUGAUGAGGUUAUUAGGCAAGACUAAUGAUUUGUCACAAUGUUUGCAAAGAAAAGAUCAGAAUAUUGUCCUUGCUGUUGGAUUGAUUGGAGCCACAUUGCGGAAUAUUAGUGAAGUACGUGAUAGUGGAUGGGAAGAAUUGUUUGAGGAGGUAAAGACCUUUUGUAACCAACACAACAUUAUUUUACCAAAGAUGGAUGAUACAAUUACUGUCCGAGGUCGCUCAAGGGGGCGUGGAGGUCAAUUAGUGACUUACUAUCAUCAUUUCAAAAAUGAGAUAUUUAUUGUUGUGUAUGAUCAAGUUAUUGUGGAAUUAAACAAUCGUUUCACUGAAAGAUCUACUCAAUUAUUGAGAUGCAUUUCGUGUCUAGAUCCAAGAAAUUCAUUUGCCAGCUAUGAUAAAGCUCAGCUGAUAGAAUUGGCUAAGAUUUAUUCUGCAGACUUCACUCAAUAUGACAUCUUGAUCCUUAGAGACCAACUCGAUAUAUUUAUUGUUGAUGUGAGGGGUAAUUCUGAUUUUGCAAAUUGUGAAGACCUUGGUAAUCUGGCUAUUAAGGUGGUGCAAACCGAGAGACACCUAGUUUUUGCAUUGGUUUAUCGUCUCAUUGAAUUAGCCUUAAUUUUGCCUGUUGCAACUGCCACGGUUGAAAGAGCCUUCUCAGCUAUGAAAAUCAUCAAGACAGAAUUGAGAAAUAAGAUGGGAAAUGAUUGGUUAAAUCAUAGAAUGGUAUGCUAUAUAGAAAGAGAUAUCUUUGCAAGAAUUCAAAGUGAUGAUAUUUUAUAUCAUUUUCAAGAAUUGAAGAGUCGUAUGAAAAAGCUACCUCCGCAAAGUUCAAGUGGUUCAAAUUCACGUGCUAAUGUUGAUGAAGUUAUUAGAGGCGGGGAAGGACCAAAUCAUCUCUAAUUAGGUACUUUUAAAUUUUUUAUCAAGUUUAUUGUACUUUUAGAUGCUGAAUUGAAGUAAAUACUAUCUUAGUCUAUGUUUGUGGUAUAUUUUGUUUUAGCGGUAUAUUUAGCCGCAUAAUAUAUUAUGGGCUGUUUGAAGUAACCUUCAAAUUUUAUGGAGUGGCCCGGGACGUUAAUUUUAUAUAGCUCCGCCACUGGUUCCAGCAGUAUAACUAUAGCCCCAUGUUAAGCAAGCAGCUGCCCCCAGUUUGCCAUUGUUAUAUUGGGCUUCGAAAAGCAAGUAGUAUUUCCCCCAUAACUAGAACAAUAACAUGGGCAUAUACC